AUUAUACUUCCUCCGUCCGAAAAUAUUUGUUGAAGAAAUGGAUCAUAAUGGAUGUAUUUACAUGUACUUUAUUUCUAGAUAUAUUUAAUAUUAUUCACUUUUAUGACAAGUCAUUUUGGACGAGGGGAGUACUCA
rnacentral:pre_miRNA from 1 species